GACGAACGCUGGCGGCGUGCUUAACACAUGCAAGUCGAACGGUGAAGCGCCUUCCUUUUUGGUGGGUGUGGAUGAGUGGCGAACGGGUGAGUAACACGUGAGUAACCUGCCCCCUUCUUCUGGAUAACCGCAUGAAAGUGUGGCUAAUACGGGAUAUUCUGGGUCUGUCGCAUGAUGGGUCUGGGAAAGAUCUUGUUUCGGUGGGGGAUGGUCUCGCGGCCUAUCAGGUUGUUGGUGGGGUGGUGGCCUACCGAGGCGGUGACGGGUAGCCGGCCUGGGAGGGUGGGCGGUAAUAGAGGGGAGGAGACACCGCGCCGCCUCCGACGGGAGGCAGCAGUGGAGAAUAGUGCACAGUGGGAGGAAGCCUGAUGCAGCGACGCCGCGGGGGAGAUGGAGUCCGUCGGGUUGAGAACCUCUUUCGCGAGUGAAGCAGGCCUGCCUAGUUUGUGGGUGGGUUGACGGUAGCUGGAGAAGAAGCGCCGGCUAACUACGUG
rnacentral:rRNA from 1 species